GUGGGGAAUAUUGGACAAUGGGCGCAAGCCUGAUCCAGCCAUGCCGCGUGAGUGAUGAAGGCCCUAGGGUUGUAAAGCUCUUUCAGUGGGGACGAUAAUGACGGUACCCACAGAAGAAGCCCCGGCUAACUUCGUGCCAGCAGCCGCGGUAAUUCGAAGGGGGCUAGCGUUGUUCGGAUUUACUGGGCGUAAAGCGCACGUAGGCGGAUCGUUAAGUCGAGGGUGAAAUCCUGGAGGUCAACUCCAGAACUGCCUUCGAUACUGGCGAUCUUGAGUCCGGAAGAGGUGAGUGGAACUCCUGGUGUAGCGGUGGAAUUCGUAGAUAUUAGGAAGAACACCAGUGGCGAAGGCGGCUCACUGGUCCGGUACUGACGCUGAGGUGCGAAAGCGUGGGGAGCAAACAGGAUUAGAUACCCCUGUAGUCC
rnacentral:rRNA from 1 species